AUUGAACGCUGGCGGCAGGCCUAACACAUGCAAGUCGAACGGUAACAGGAAGAAGCUUGCUUCUUUGCUGACGAGUGGCGGACGGGUGAGUAAUGUCUGGGAAACUGCCUGAUGGAGGGGGAUAACUACUGGAAACGGUAGCUAAUACCGCAUAACGUCGCAAGACCAAAGAGGGGGACCUUCGGGCCUCUUGCCAUCGGAUGUGCCCAGAUGGGAUUAGCUAGUAGGUGGGGUAACGGCUCACCUAGGCGACGAUCCCUAGCUGGUCUGAGAGGAUGACCAGCCACACUGAAACUGAGACACGGUCCAGAGUCCUAGGGAAGGCAGCGGGGGGUAAUAUUGCACAAUGGGCGCAAGCCUGAUGAAGCCAUGCCGGGGGUAUGAAGAAGGCCUUCGGGUGGUAAAGUACUUUCAGCGGGGAGAAAGGGAGUAAAGUUAAAACCUUUGUUCAUGAACGUAACCGGCAAAGAAGGCACGGCUAACCUCGGG
rnacentral:rRNA from 1 species